rnacentral:rRNA from 1 species
UACGAAGGGGGGCUAGCGUUGUUCGGAAUUACUGGGCGUAAAGCGCACGUAGGCGGAUAUUUAAGUCAGGGGUGAAAUCCCAGAGCUCAACUCUGGAACUGCCUUUGAUACUGGGUGUCUUGAGUUCGGAAGAGGUGAGUGGAAUUGCGAGUGUAGAGGUGAAAUUCGUAGAUAUUCGCAGGAACACCAGUGGCGAAGGCGGCUCACUGGUCCGAUACUGACGCUGAGGUGCGAAAGCGUGGGGAGCAAACAGG